UUUGUGGCAAUAAUACCCUGCCGUACUGAUUCUGUCGGCUCUUUAGAGAGAUUUAAUAUUGAGGUUGAGGAUCACAUCUUGACAGCUUCAACAGUCACAGUCAGUGUGUGUCCACCUUUGUUAAAGUGUCCCUAAGCAAAACACUGACUCCCUAACUGGUCACCCCAUCUCUCUGGAUCAACUCAGCUAAAAGAAACCAAAUCUGUACAUUUUUCAAGAUUUGAAAAUGUUUUUUUUUCAAGAUUUGAAUUUUCUUUUCCCCCCAAGAUUUGAAAAAAAACAUAUGAAAAGCUCUAUGCACUGUCAAUAGUUGUCAAAGCUAACCAACUCAAUGCAGAAGCACAAGAAAACACUCACAUACAGACCCACUCUCCGCCUGCUGGUUUCUAUGGAGACAAUAUCCAUCAUUCAGGAUGCUUGAGUUAAAAAUAGGCGCUCGUUUCAUAUAAACACUCCUCCCCUUUCAUGCUUUCUGGUACACCAGCGUCAACACUGAGUGUUUCUGUUUUGUUAAUCUCCAAUUCAUUGGAAACAGCUAAAUCUGCAAGCUGUGAAAGGAUGAGCACAUUUAUUUUCUAAGGCCAUCUUUUCCUGGGAUUUUAGAGCUUUUAGACCAAGACAUCUAAACCUAGAGGAGUGUGUGUCCUUCAGAAAUAACGCAAAAAAAAGGAAAUAAGGAGGUUUGUGAUUCAGGUUUUCUAUUGUGUUGUGCUGUGAGUUCAUCAGCCACAAACAUUUCAGAGCAAGUGUUUUAAAAUGUUUUCAAUAGCUGAAGACCACACGUGUGUUCAGAAAGUCAUACAGAAUGAGACAUCCGACAUCGCCUGGAAGAACACAAUGUCUUUAAUUAGAAACGUGCACAAACAGAUGAUGCUCCACGCAGACAUCCAAGAAACGGUGUUGCAGCUGAAUUCUGAGGCAUCUUUAUUUGUUUAUGUAGUUUGACUGAAGUGUGACUUCACACUAGUUAUGCAAACAGCCACAAAAAUGAUCUUGCUCUAACUAAUGUCAUCCUCAUUUCAUAAACCAAUGUCAUUUUCUUUAGUGUUGUUCUCAUAAAGCUGAUCCAGAUAAAAAGGUCAGAGCAGGGUCGGAACAGAUUUAAUAAUCACCUUUUUUUUUUUUUUUUAACAAACUUUUCCCCACCUUUUACUUGGUAUGACCACUACGUUGCUGGAAGGGGAUCCACCAGAACAGCUUUAUGUCCUGCAGUAAUUUAAAAAGUAAACUUUAUCGUGUGGAUGAUCGUUGCCCUUCUCACCUAAAAGCACAUGACAAUUUACUAUUUGCCUGAAUUUCCACAUCCACACAGGACACUUGUUGUGGCACCCAGCUUUCCCUACACUAAAUAAAGGGUUCUGCUUUGGCAUUUGUACUAGGUGGAGGGGUGGGUCAGUGUCAGGCUAAAAUUGUAUUCUUUUUAACCAGGAUGUUGUCUUUACACAGACUUUAGCCAGCCACAUUCUGCUUUACACUGGUAUUAAUUCUACAUGUAAAAACUGCUUUAGAUGAUCAAACAGAUGUAUUCAGUCUGGAGCUUUACUUCACAAACUACAGACAAUUAAAGAGUCAAAUUAACAACAAAAAUACUGGAUGGGUAUUCUGUAUUGGUAGGUACUACAAAUUUAAUGAACCAGAUCAUGCUGAAGACAGCUAAAGACAAAAAAACAAAAAGAUGUUGUCAGUGUGUUGUCAGUUUUGUUUAAAUGAUGACAGAGACAUGAGAUAGAUCAAAUCAGUAUGACACUCAACAAAUUAUAAAUGACACAAAAGUCAUAGCACUGAGUGGGCUUCACUAGUAAAUUACCAUACAUGCCCUGUGUGGUUUGUUGCACGGAUGUAGCUAAUGCCUCGACUACUUUCCCAUCUGCUUUAAGCUAUUUCUGUAAUCAUGUCCUCUCGUGCUAGAUAGAUACCCAUCACACCAACGCCACGCCCCUUUCUUGGCUCCGACUAUUCACUGGGAAGCAACUUUAGCAUCCAUAUUGACAACACAGACAAUGCAUUUAUUUCCCUUUAGUUUUAAUCCAACACGAAAGUAAUUAUAAUAUCAUGCGAGACAGCAAUAUGACUGAAGCAGUUGUUAUUAAUGUUGCCGUCAGAGCAACCAGGCUAACGCUGUUACACUGGCAGCGACGACGUCAGCGAGCAGUGACCGUUAAGCAGUCGUUCAGUAAACAAGCUAAAGUGAACAGUUGACUUUAGCUAACGCUGCUGGAAAAACAAAUAGUUAACAGCAAUAUAAUCGUCUUCACCAGUUAUUAGAGGAGGCGACAUGGAGCGUUUCGCUUGAGGCUUUUUCAAUGUAGACCUGAUGUAAGACCAGUUUAUGUGGCUAGCUGCAAAACGUCUUAACCAAACAUCGAUCAAAUAUUUUACAAUUUACUUUUUCUUUGUUUAGCAUAAAAUAAAAACACCGGUUCAAAUACAACUUAGUUUUUUUUUUUUUUUUUUACUAUACAAGGGGAGCCAUACGUCGGCAUUUACAUGUUAAAGAGAUGAUUUCGAUAAAAAAAAAAAAUUAACUUGUGCUUUGGUUUGCCUGUUUUCACGACGAAAGCACACCCAGGAAGACCGUAAAUAGCAUCAGCCAAUCAAGUCUAAAAUGUGAGCAGUUUGGCGGAGGAUUUGUAUGGCGCAUUUCAGUGGCUUUUACGUUUCAGCUGUUAUUCUGCUAGCUUUGCUCUUCCAGCUGGACCAGUUUUGAACUUGAUUGGGCAAGCAGCAGAAACACAUCUACCUGAACAGGGCUGGCAUGGAAGUGUUUAGCUCUUAACUGGAUCAGGUCAUAAGUGUUAUUUUCAUCUUUGUCUCUCAAGUUCUGUUUUUCUGUUGGUUUUUUUUAUGUUGUUGUUGUUUUAAGUGUUUGGUGGUGCGAUGUAUUUUUGAAUACAUUGAAACACAAAUAACAUUUAUCAUAUACUCAUAGCUGUGUAAGUGACAAAUGUGUUCUUUUAGUUUGAAGGUAUAGUCGCCGAAUGUUUAGUUGUAUUCUGAAUUUGAGAGUCCUCUGAAGUCAUGGGAGGUGUGGGACAAAUACUUUGUAAUGUGUUUGUAGUGCAACGAUUGUAGAUGAUCAAAAACUAUAUAGCAUUAGCUAUAACUCCAUGUAGCCUAUUUCUUCAUUACAAUAUACAACAGUGGCUCCCUGGUGAUGUUCAGGCCCCCAAUGAGCCUUUGAGCUAGUUUAUAAAUUCUGGGGUUAUCAGUUUAAUGUAGGCCAAUGUCUGCCAGUUAAGAUUCUCUGAAGACUAGACGGUAGUGGUGCUGGAUAACUGCUCCUGCUUGUAAUUUGCAUGUUUAACACCAAGUGGCAGCAAAAGCUCACUAUAAUUGUGUGUGUGUGUGUGUGUGUGUGUGUGUGUGUGUGUGUGUCAGCUCUGUGGCCUGACAACAGCCAGCAGUUAUAAAUACUUAAUGCUCUACUACUGUUGCAGCAGAAGUGAAAGGGGUGGUGAGCAUUGCAGCCCAAAUACAACAGUUCAAUAGGAUCUGACAUCAUACUGUAGGGUGUUCACCUUCUCCAGUGAUGAAUGGUAUUAACAGGGCUGGAUGAAUGGAACAAGCACCAAUGAAAGAGAAUACGGUUAUUUAGGAUCAUCAGGGUGAUGCAAUUUACAUAUUUCUACAAAAUCUGAGAUUAAUCUUAAGGUUACAUUAACUAAUUGAAACAUAGUUUUAUUAGAAUGCACCACUUUCCCUCUUCUGUACUGAUUUAGCUGUCUUUCUGUAAUUUCAAUCUAAUUUUUUUCAAUAUACAUUGCUAAUUUUACCUGCAGUGAACACAGCUGGCGCACACUGAAUCGUGACUCACCAGAUCUUUACAGCAUCAUGGAGAAGAGAUUAAAUUAACCCAUGCAGGUGAUGUUCUAAACAUUCAAAAUGACAGAUUACUGACUAACUAAACAGAGUAAAUAUAGCUGUCAGUAUAGUCUGCUCACUUUACCUAUGCGUUGCCUUGAGGUCUGCUUACUUUGAACUUUUAUUUUAGUUUAAUCCUUUUUAAACCGUAUUAAAUGUCAGAUACAAAGAAAAGCAAUUAUUUUCUUCCAAUUGACACCCUGUAAUUUCACUAUUUUUCAUUAAAGUUUCUAGCUUUAGUGGCAAGUUGACAAUCACAUUCAGCCAUCCCUACAGAACAUAUGACAUUACGAAAAUGAUUUGUCAGUACCAGUGAUGUCUCACUUGACACACUCCUUUAAACUCUAUUUUCCCUACUUUUUAAAACAUCUAAAGCUUCUAAAAAGAACAGAACCAUGACUCAGCAAAUCUUUUAAAACAAGAAUGUAAGAACACAAGGGAAAUGGGUCAGAAAAAUUUGCAUGACAACAAGAAUACCCCACCACACGCUCACAUACCCACCCAUCCAAAGAUUAUGACUGCAGUGGUUUUGACUCUAUUCUGUGGGGGACACUUCAUCCUUGCUGCAGUGUGAUGGCUUGGACGUUGCUCAGCCGUGAUGCACAGCAGACUGCACAUGUACGGUGUCAUGCUGUAACUGUCCUGUCCUGUGGUGCACAGUUAGUCUGCUGUUUCUGCUCACCUGGGCUCAGUUUGUGUCAGGGAGUCGAAAUUUUUGGCUGGGACUCCUCAGCAGCUCCUCCAGAACUGCAGGGCUCUGGGACAUCUGCAAUGCAGAAGUCUAUAUAUAGCCAUGGAGUUACAGGGAGAGAGAGAGAGGGAGACAUAGACAGACAAACAGAGAGAAAGAUGAAGGGAGACAGGGAGGGGAAGGACAAGACAGACAGAAACAAUGAAUGAAAAGAGUGACUGAAAAUGAGCUGGAGACUAAUAUAGAGUUGACAGAAUGCAGCUUUGUAAACUGUUCUCGUAUGCCAAAUGCUAACUUUUACAGCUUCUAAAAACUUAAUUCCGAGUUUGUGCAAACUGAAAGCUAUGAAACACUCAUUUUACUUAAAACUCCACAGCCACCAAGCCAAACAAGUGUCCACUCAGGAUGUCAGCACUUGCACUUGCAAUGACAAGGUCAUAGUGAAGUGUGUUUGCCAGUAUCUCUGUGUUUAGGUCACUUAAAAGAGGAAAUGUAAUUACAUGCUUGUGGACUCCCAGCAACAGGAACAGCGAAGGGUGGCUGUUAAAUGCUGAGGUUGAGUAUUUAUUGCUUUAUCUCGAAGGGUCUCGGGAGGGAAGUGGAGGAGGAGGAGAGCAGUUCAAUUAUGUAUGCACCUCCACAACAACAGAAUCUGCUGACAGGAGAGCUCAGCACGCACAUAGCAGCGGCAUGGCCAAUUCAAGGACGACUCCCUCUGUCUGGCCAGCGGCGGGCCACAGGCCUGCAGAGCUGUGGGACUGAUCAGCCUCUUGAAUUUUCAAUAAAUAUGCCCUCUGACACGCUCCCUGUCUGACUCUGCAACACAGAGGUCCAUGCAGAGUCAUAACUCUCCUUGUGUCAUGGCCGAAAGAUGCACUGAGCAGAUCCCCCCCAGUCUGCGAGCAGGGAAACAGUCUCAGGCUGUGAUGAAGUGCUUGCUGGUGACAGCUGUGCUGGUGGGCCAGCGUUGGCAACUGCCAUCCAUCUUAGCCGGCCCCGUCUUUCACCGUUGGGUGCAGGCAGGCAGAAGCGGAGAUGAGCCGAUAGUAACACCCACUGGACAUUAUGCAGCUCCGCCCAUGAACAAAAAAGGUAUCGACUGCAGUGCUAAGGAGACAGGCAGGGAGGCUUGUGACUAAAGUAGACAGUUUAUAUUCCUUCUGUGUGGGUGAAAGUAAAUAAGUAGACACCUCCUCCAAUAACAAAUGCUGUCCAGGUGCCUUUGAGCAAGGCACGUAACCUUCAACUGUUCCAGAUCUACGUUAGUGGUUAUUGACACAUUAGUAGGCUUUUUCCCCAGAAGCCAUUUUGACAUGUCACUGUAAGAAAAGCACAGGUGCAAAUAAUAAAAUGAUGGCUGAAUUCCAUUUAGCUGCUUCAGUAUCAGGGUCCUGGCAUUGUGCAUGCUCUCGAACAGACCACAAAGAAUGCUCUCGACAGAUCGCUAAGACCUGCGAGGUGACAGUCACGUGACCCACACACACAGCCAAAGGCAUCUGUUGACUACCUUUCGGUAGUCUUGCUGUCUUGACUACUUGUCCUGCAGAAGAAGGUUAACAGGAAAGAAGCGGAUAACGCAACCGUCCUUGAUAAGUAAAACUUUCUACAGCAAAAAGAAAAAAGCAGUAAAACUUCCGCAUUUCUUUAUUCUUUCAACUCUUCAGUUUGACAAAUUGUGAUUUGAACAAUGCAAAAAUCUAAAAAUGAUUAAUCAUGAUUGUGGUAGAAAAUGUAUGAAAGAAUAUACUGUAUGAUUUGUGCAUUGUCAUGGUUAGGUGACCUGAGAGUCCUUCACUCUUGGCAUGUUUUAAGCUAGGAGGCUCUGGGUGUCCGGAGGUAAAGAUAAGACUAAGACCUUGGAGAUGUUCCGACUCUCAUGAUAAUAAUGGAUGAGAAAUAGUCUUGACCGAGGGUUGCACACACAUUGUCUACCUCCUCCCUCGUGGCGUGAUUGUACAUGCAUCCAGGUACCAUAUAAAGCUGAGUGAAAUGUAAGGAGGCUUUAAGUUUUUGGUACUGACUGUGUCCAUGUAUGCAAGCUGUACCAAGAUCUUCUCUGAUAUCAGAUUUGUGUUGAAUAAACUUGUUCUGUAUAUUCAAGUAAGGACAACUGAGGUUCAUCGAGGUUAUUCUUCAUCAAAGUGAAGCUUUGAAAGAAAGUACAAGUUUUUCCUCAUCAAUGAUCAUGAAAGAAACAGAGCUAACCACCCACCAAAUUAUGAAUAAUCAUGGAUGAAUGAGAUUUUGGAAACAACACUGAAGGAGCAAUUCAACAUUUUUCUGUCUUACAGUUCUAUUAUUACAGAAUUUUCUUCUAAUUCUUGGAUUUGUUGCCUUAAGGCCAGCAAAAUGUUCAGCUACACCUCUUGUUACGACCGCAGGCAUCAUCCUAAGUAGCUGUCCAACUCUGCCCAUUGGGAUGCGUUAGGCGCAGACCAAGCAAUGUUUUCAGUCCAACCCCCUGCAGUCGCAGGAUCCACCACCACCGGUACCUCAACCCCACCCACUGUGGCAGCAUAAGGCCCAGCAGCAGUCCUGGCCUCAAUCUGCAGUCAGACCGAAAUACACAAAAAAAUUAACUCACCUGGUGUGGCCAAAAGCAGGGGGGAGGGCAGGAAAUACCGUGAGUACGGUAGUUAACAUAAACUAGCAUGGCUAGCAGGCCAACCACAACACUGCAUAAAGAUGAAUUAUACAACUUUACUGUCAUUUAACCUCUGUCACUGUCCCUGCACUCACUGCAUCACAGCAUUCCUUCUUCUCUGCUGCUUGUAUUUUAUAUUGCCAUAUAGUUAUAAAACAAGAAAAUAAACAAACAAUUUCCGGAAUAUUCCCACCCCCUCUCUCAAAUCGAUUGGACAUUGGAGAGCCUUGCGAUUUCACGUGUCCUGAUUUAAUCUGAUUGAACUCUGUGCGAAGCAAAGACGACAGGUCAAAUUGUGACCGUUCCCCGUUCCACAUAAAAAUGAAUGGGAAGCAAAAUCUGGUCUGACUGUUCCAUCAUCCAUUGUGGUAACUCGGCCCUUCCUCCAGGGGUGUUCCAACUCUUCCCAUUGGGGUGCCAUUAGGCCCCUCCCCAAGCAGAAUUUAUAGCCCCACUCCCUGCAGUGGUAGCAGGCUCUAGACCCAAUAUGAUGUGUGUCCUUUACACAGUGGGUGCAUACUACAGACAGAAGUAAGUAAGUAAUCAGGGUACAGUAGCUGGGGUGUGCCAAAAUUGCUGCUUUUUUAUAGAGUUGAAGCACAUAGAUGGUGCAUCUUGAUGCAUUGAGGUGCAUCACUGAUGCAUCAACUCACAACGACACACAACAAUACAUAACCGGUAUGUUUCCUUCCACAGUUGAAGCACUUAAAGGAGUUUAAGUGUCAAUUCAAAUGUUUCAAAUGAGGUGUAAACAAUGAACUUGUCAGUUGAAGUGAAAGCAAUGGAAGCAAUUGACAUGUCAGUUAAAAUGCACACACUGAAAUAAGCUGAGGUUUCAGUUGAAAUGAAUGUGUUGAAAGCACUUGCAAUCAGACAAAAUUGAAUCACUGAAUGCAGUUGCAGUGUCAUUUGAAGUAUAAGCAAAUGUCAGAUAAAGUGUAAGCAGCGUAAGUAGUUCAAAUGUAGAUGCUGUAAGCAGUUGGAAUGUCAGUUGAAGUGUAAGUUGUUGAACUGACGGUUGGUAUGUAAGAACUGAAAGUGGCUGAAAUGUAAUUUUGAAGUAAGAAUGUUGAAAAAACAGCUGAACUGGAAGCUUCAAAUUGCCAGAAUCCAAAAUUGUGCUUGUUGGGGGUAAUGAUAGCCAUGCUGUCGACUGCCUUUCACCCAAAGGCAUGCGGGGUUGGCUUAAUGACCUUGUUUACUAACAAAGACCACGCUAAUUGUGCGAAAUGAAAGGUUGUUUAUUCGGAUUGUCAACAGGAUGAGGAAAGGAUAGGAUGAGGGUCGUGUUUGGUGGGCAGAUUAGGGUCGAGGGAUCAUGGGGAUCAACAGGGAUCAAUUAGAGUAAUGGGCUAGGAACCCGGGGGUCGAGACUCGGGGUGGGGGCACAUCUCGAUGAGCUUCUGUUUCAUAAUCCCCCUGAGGUUCCUAUAAAAGAAGAAUUACUUAGAUGGAAAUAUUAACCCUAACACACGUCUUUGAUGGUGGGAGGAAACCGGACCGCACAGUGGAAACCCACACGAACACGGGAAGAACAUGCAAACUCCGCACAGAAAGGACCUGGGACAGUCGAGGUUCGAACCCAGGACGAAAGAGAAUGUAUGAACAUAUAUAAAUAUGAAGGAAGAAGUCACAUCAUAAAUACAUGCAUACUUCAUUUUUGUUUUCUUGGGAACUUAAUUAUCAUGUCAGAGUCACCGUUUUCUGACCAAAGUUAUCAUAUUUCAUCACUUUUAUCAACCUUUUCUACUGCAUAAUUUGUUAUUGUCAGCUAAAUCUGUACAAAGUUGUGCAUACAAAUAGAUUCCACUCCUGUAUACUUUUACCCUUCCUGUUUAUUCAUUUUAUAUAAAAACUUUUCAAGUUGCCAGUGUCAUGCCAUUUCAUAUCAAGUACAUUAAUAUCAUCAUUACAUAUUAACAUUUAUCACAGAAAACUUGAGAGAAUUUGAAUAUUUAGAAGUUCUCUCUUGUGGUUUUUUUAUGUACAUUAUAGCAGUGGAGGAAUAUUAUUUUAUAUAUUUUCAUUGACAAAUUUCAGUCCCAUUUCAUGACAUUAAAGAUACAGAGAUGUAGUGAAUGUUUGGUUAAUAAAUGUCUUUAUUUGGCUUUGAGAGAAAUAUCACUGCAUGAGAUAGCAGCACAUACAGUCACAGUUGUAUAGCAGAGGUCUGGAAAGUGUCAGCCUCCUCAGAAACAAGUGAGAUGCAAGUGAAAACAUGUUUUAUUUUAACUUUCAGUCAUGGUUAAGGCAAGUUUUUUAAUUGAACACACAACAAGCAAAAAUCUAUCCCAUCCAGCAGAUAUUCAAGCUCCAAGAGUCAGGCCAUGCAUUCAUGCCCAUUGGUUGAUUCAUUCGUCAAAAAGAAAAACCCAGGGGCUAAAAUUAUGAACAA